UGCAGGACAACAGACUUCACCUAGGUCGG
rnacentral:piRNA from 1 species